AACUUCAUGGGAUUUUGGGUCAACUUCAUGGGAUUUUGGGUCAACUUCAUGAGAUUUUGGGUCAACAGAACGCAAUUUUGGGUCAAGAGAAUGGGAUUUUGAGUCA
rnacentral:lncRNA from 1 species